GCAACUAAGCCGUCCGGUGGAUGGCUCGGCUCGGGCGCCGAGGAAGGACGUGGCAAGCUGCGAUAAGCCCCGGGUAGGCGCAAGCAGCCGUUGAACCGGGGAUCUCCGAAUGGGACCUCCUACUGCGGGCUAAUAACCCGCAGUGCUCGGGAAAUCCCACCUAUGUGGGAGAGUACCGAGUGGGAACCCCCCGAACGGAAACAUCUUAGUAGGGGGAGGAAGAGAAACCAAAAUGGGAUCCCCUGAGUAGGGGCGACCGAAAGGGGGAGAGCCCAAACCAAAUCCCCUAGGGAUAACCUAGGGGAGAUGUGGAGUUAUAGGGGCCCAGCCGCCCCCUCGCCGGGGAAGCCGAAGUGGGCUGGAAUGCCCCACCGUAGAGGGUGAUAGUCCCGUAGGCGUAACCCGGAAGGGGAAGGGCUGGUGUCCCAGAGUACCACGGCUUGGUUUUGCCGUGGGAAGUUGGGAGGCACCGACUUCCAAGGCUAAACACGUCCCGAGACCGAUAGCGAACUAGUACCGUGAGGGAAAGCUGAAAAGCACCCCGAGAGGGGGGUGAAAAGAGCCUGAAACCGGACGGCGAUAAGUGGUGCGACCUGAAAGGGUAGAUCCUCCCCGAAGGAAACUCGGGCAACCGAGGAGUACGAGGGGAGGGGACCAGGGUCGCACCUUGCGUCUGGAAACACGAGCCGGGGAGUUCACAGCUGUGGCGAGUUUAAGGAGCUAUAACUCCGAAGGCGUAGGGAAACCGACCUGCCCGCAACCGACACCUCUGCCAUAGUACUCAAUCACUCGAGAUCCUAAGGAUCGAUGAAAGAGUGGUUGGGUACUAUGGUAAGUGUCGGUGAGGGGAGGGGUCUGAAAGGGCCCGGAGCCACAGCUGUGAGACCAGAAACCGGGCGAUCUAGGCCGGGGCAGGGUGAAGCCGGGCGAAAGCCCGGUGGAGGCCCGAAGGGGUGCUGACGUGCAAUUCGCUCCCAUGACCCUGGCCUAGGGGCAAAAGACCAAUCAAGCCCGGUGAUAGCUGGUUCCCCCCGAAGCUGGUCGCAGCCAGGCCCGCUCGGAGGUGGCCGUUGGGGUAGAGCACUGAUUGGGAGGUUAGGGGUCGAAAGACCUCGCCUCCCUUUCAAACUCCGAACCCAACGGCACCGUAGAAGAGCGGAGACGGGUUCCGGGGGAUAAGCCCCUGGGCCGAGAGGGGAACAACCCAGACCGGGGUUAAGGCCCCUAAGUGCCGGCUUAGUGUCAAUCUAGAAGGGCGUCCCCGGCCUAAGACAGCGGGGCCGUAGGCCUAGAAGCAGCCAUCGGCUAAGAAGUGCGUAACAGCUUACCCGCCGAGGCCGGGGGCCCCGAAGAUGACCGGGACUAAGCCGGCCGCCGAGACCCCGGAGCACUCCCCGCUGGGGAGUGAUCUGGUAGGGGGGCGUCCAGGUGGGCUAGAAGCCGGGUCGUGAGAUCCGGUGGACCCGCCUGGAAUGAAAAUCCCGGCGGUAGUAACAGCGAGGAGGAGUGAGAACCUCCUCCGCCGAAAGGGCCAGGGUUCCUCCGGCGACGCGCCUUCGGCCGAGGGUUAGCCGGUCCUAAGGUGGGGCGUAAUUCGCACCCACCGAAAGGGAAACGGGUUAAUAUUCCCGUGCCGUGGGGGUACGCUCGCGGUAACGCAAGCCCGACUCCUGACGCCUUGGGGUAGGCCGAGUAGGGCUGCCGCUCUACCCAACCGCUGAAGGCCGGGGAGUGCCGUCAUGGCGAGAACCGGCUGAAGGCGGGAGGGGCUCGCCCGUUGGGGUGAGUUCGGUCGAUCCCCAGGGCCAGUGAAAAGGGAGUCGGGAAGGAGCCCCCACGCCCGUACCGAGAACCGACACAGGUGCCCUGGGUGAGAAGCCCUAGGCGUAUCGGAGUUAACCCGGGCCAGGGAACUCGGCAAAUUGGCCCCGUACCUUCGGUAGAAGGGGUGCCUGCGGUCUUAGGGAGAACCCUGGGACCGCAGGUCGCAGUGACAAGGGGGACCCGACUGUUUAAUAAAAACAUAGGUCCCCGCGAGCCCGUAAGGGUGUGUACGGGGGCUGAAUCCUGGCCACUGGCGGUACGUGAAACCCGGGUCCAACCGGGCGAAGCGCCGCUGAAGGCCGGGAGUAACUCUGACUCUCUUAA
rnacentral:rRNA from 1 species